UUCCUUAAUAUCAAAGGCUGUAUACGCUACCGACGUGUUUAUAUCCAACGAAUUUGAUAAAUGGAUUGCCUAAAGUGGACAGCGCAUGACCUAAUAUGAAAAUAUAGAAGUUUAGCUCCAUCACCAGAAGCACGAAGAGUACAGAGACAUCUAUAUUUUUGUUGUUGUUUGUGUGUGCAGUUUCACAUCAAGUUAGAAUAUUCUUGAAUGCUUUAUAAAAUAUAUAUCCCUCUCUUGAAUCAUUGUAAUAUUGUUUAAAUAUGCGUUGAAAAGAAUAGGAAACCAUAUAUUUUGUAACAAACGUAUUUUUAAGCUUUCAAUAAUUUUUAUUUUAAAGUAACAGCACAGAUACAAAUUUGAUGUAAACAAUAUUGAAACUAAGCCUGAUUAUCAUCUUUUUAGCUUCUGUUGCCCAUUACCUCGUCUCUGUUAGUAAAUAUGCUCAUUAUUUGCCAUUACUGCCAAGAUAAGUAAAGCACAAUUCUUUACACACAGUUCUUUUUAUCAUUUUCUGCCUCAGUGUUUUUUACGAGGACGUAAAAUACAUCUUUUAUGAAACAUACAUCAUCAACUAUUCUUUACCUAUAAACUCCUGCUCAAUUGAUCCCAAUCUUUUUGAGUGAAAUACCCGUAAAUUGGCCCUCGUUCAUCCUAGUACCACGUCCCUGUAGUACUAGUAAGCCUAAUGAAACUACCAUAUUGCCACGCUAUGUUAACCCAAAUUUUUUAUCUUUGUUCCUACGUUUUACUGUUAUUAUGAACCUCUUUGACUAAAUAUAAUAUUCAUAUAACAAAAACAUCACAAUCAAAAGGCGUCGCAUCCAAACCAGUGAUCUCGAGUGAACCAAUCAGAGACUGGCAUUGUUGCCAACUUAUCUACUUACAGUAUUUUAUUUUAAUUCAAUUGUUUAACUAUAUUUUAAUUUUUUUCUAUUGGUAUUAAUAUAAUUAUUAAACAUCGUUCAUUGAAAUCACUUUAUAUUCUCUGUUUAACGUUUCACACGAGUCCAGUAUUUCUGGUUUCCUCAAAUCAUUUUAGCUUUAAGUCCUCAGCGCCACCUUUCUGCUGUUACUAAUACAUCUCAAUCGAUAAAGUUUAGCGUAUGGUACCUUGGACAUAGUUUUUUCUUUUCGUUUUACGUUUAAUUCUUUAAUUUUUUGGCAGGUACAAUAAAAUACAUCAUUUUGUCAUUAGUGUCUAUAAGCUUUAAUCUGAAAAUUGUAUUAUACGGUUAAAAAUAAAAGUUUGCGUGAGA